rnacentral:piRNA from 1 species
UCAGGGUGAAAGUAUAUCAGAACAAGG